ACAGAUAGAGGUAGGCCAAUUCCCUUAUCCUCCUCCCUUCUCCUUCCUCCCUUUCCUUUCCACCUCCCCACUGGGGUGGGAUUUGGGAGGGAAUAAAUAAUAAACUAAGAAGAAGGAUAGAGUAACCACGAGAGGGGAAAUGGCUGAUGCGAGGAUUCUAGGUCUCAUUUGAGCACCAGGAGGAGACGGCCGCGCCUCAAUCCAUGAUGGGACCUGUCUCCCAGCCUCCCCACCCAAAGCAACGAGCUCCGCGAUCUGAUGCAACGGUUCAUGGCGGCGCUUGCCGAGUUCUCCCAACGCUUACCCUUUGAUGUUGACUUCCAGAACAACAAAUAAGGCAGCGCAGACGAUCUUCCACAUCACCUAACUUUUCGACUAUCAACUUACAUCUAGAUACAAGCAUCCAAUCCUCUGAAAUUCACUACUCUGGAGUUUCAAGAGAACAAAGAUCUGUGAAUGAAUUCUUCCAACCAUUAAAGCUGUCUUUGGAGCAACUAGUGUGACAUAGGUUGAAUGAAUGUCGAAAGGAAAGGGUUCUUUCAGCUUUGGAAGAUGCUGGAGUAUUCACUUCUGGAGGUUUGGUAAGAGAGAAAUAAGUACUGAGAAUGGGCGCAUGUCAUUUGUUCGACAAUUGGAACCGGAUUGGCAUUUUGAUUCAAAUGCUGAAAUUGUGCACCAGUUGACUAGAUUCAUCAAAUAUUUACUUUAUGUGACACCAGACCUACCUCAACAAACGGCUUCUAAUGUGUUCAUUUCAACAAGUUUGGAACAGUUCGUUGGUGAUCAAGGUCGAAAAUAAGUUGCAUGUUGCCUACCUAAUCAGCUGAGGAUCAUUUUUGUCUAAAUCAAUUGUUGAUGAAAUUGUGUGAGAUGACUGGACUAGUAAAUGCCGUUCACAAUCGUCCCUGUCGAGUCCGCGAUGUCUUCCGCGGCCCAUGAUUCCUCAGGAUCUUCAAAAUCAAGCCAUUGUGCAGUCAAGUCUUCAUGUCCAACUUCAUCGAUGUUCUAUCUAACCUCUUGAUUAGUAAGUUGUUUGAUCA